rnacentral:rRNA from 1 species
AUGAACGCUGGCGGCGUGCUUAAUACAUGCAAGUCGAACGGACAAUGUCAGAUAGCUUGCUAUCUGAUUGAGUUAGUGGCGAACGGGUGAGUAAUACGUAGGCAACCUACCCCAAAGCGGGGGAUAGCAGUUGGAAACGACUAUUAAUACCGCAUAGGUAUUCAGGAGGCAUCUCCUGAAUAUUAAAGGUGCGUUUGCACCGCUGUGGGAUGGGCUUACGCUGUAUUAGCUUGUUGGCGAGGUAACGGCCCACCAAGGCGAUGAUACAUAGCCGGUCUGAGAGGAUGAACGGCCACAUUGGGACUGAGACACGGCCCAGACUCCUACGGGAGGCAGCAGUAAGGAAUUUUCGGCAAUGGGGGAAACCCUGACCGAGCAACGCCGCGUGAGUGAUGAAGGCCCUUCGGGUCGUAAAGCUCUGUGGUAGAGGAAGAAUACCUUGGAUAGGAAAUGAUUCAGGGCUGACGGUACUCUGCUAGAAAGUCACGGCUUACUACGUGCCAGCCGCUGC